CAACCAAGCACCCAUUUCCCUUUCCCAACUGUCUCUCUCUACAAAAUUCCAGGCAGACACUAAACCCUAUUUAAACCCAGCAAACCCAAAAACAAAAGCAAACAAAAUAAAAAUAAAAAUAAAAAUAAAAUUAUAUAUGGCUUCCACAGUAGUUCGAUCUCGCAUUUUAUCAAUCAUAUCAAGAAACAAUAAACCUAAUCGCAGAUUCUUUUGUUCAAAUAAAGAACCCACCAUCUCUUCUCAAUCAACUAUACCCGAUCAAUCUGCUGCGGCUGCGGCUGCGGCGGCGGCGGAGGAAGCACCGGCGCAGGCUGCGGGGAUUCGGGAGAAUAAGGCAUGGAACUUUUUCAAGUAUGGAAUUAUUGGCGCUCUCACUGGAGCCACUGCUUUUGCUGGAUACGCUACUUACGCCUACAGUUUGGAUGAAGUGGAGGAGAAGACGAAAACUUUGCGAGAAUCAGUAAACUAUACUGCUAGUAAUGACGCUUCCAAUGUUGAGAAGUAUCAAGGUUUGCUGUACUCCACAGUGAUGACAGUUCCUGCUAAAGCGGUGGAACUUUACUUGGAUCUGAGGAAGUUUCUGGAAGAACAUGUCAAAGGUUUUACUGAACCAGCCUCAGAUAAACUUCUUCCUGAUUUGCAUCCUGCUGAGCAACAUGUUUUUACUCUUGUUUUAGAUCUUAACGAGACAAUAAUUUAUAGUGAUUGGAAGCGCGACAGAGGCUGGCGAACAUUCAAACGACCGGGAGUAGAUGACUUCUUGCAACACCUUGGACGGUUCUAUGAAAUUGUUGUGUAUUCGGAUCAGCUAAGUAUGUAUGUUGAUCCUGUUGUUGAAAGGUUGGAUACAAACCACUUUAUCAGGUACAGGCUAUCAAGGAGUGCUACCAGGUAUCAGGAUGGCAAACAUUAUAGAGAUCUUUCAAAACUUAAUAGAGAUCCGGGCAAAAUCCUCUAUGUGAGUGGUCAUGCAUUUGAAAAUUGCCUUCAGCCAGAAAAUUGUGUCCCGAUUAAGCCAUUCAAGAUCGAUGAAACGGGUGAUGUACCUCUGGAUACAGCACUUUUGGAUCUUAUUCCGUUUCUUGAGUGUAAGUUGAAUUUCCUUUCUGCAAGCACAUAUUAUGGUCCAUUUGAUUGUCCUCAUGGAAUUGAAACAGUUAUAUUCUUGGAUUUCAUUGCAUACAAGGUAUUAACAUUUUUCUUGAAGUAUUACAGCCAAAACGAAGGCAAAAAUAUUAUAACCCUUGCUGAAACUGAAUAAACUGGGUUUAUUUUAUGAAGUGCAGAGACUCUUGAAUACUUUUGGUUCUUCCAUUUAUAGAAGUUCACACACUGCGCCUGGAGUAAAUCCCCAGGCUAUUACCUUAUUUCGAUCAUCAUCAGAAUUGUUUAUUCAUUUUAGUAUUGUAUAAAAUGCAUCCUGCUAUUUUGGUUUUCACACAGAUGUUGCUCGCAAUAGUCCAUCUGACAUCAGAACAGUUUUGGCAUCUUAUGAAAGAAAGGAUUUAGGAAAAGAGUUCCUUGAACGUUCUAAAGAUUAUCAGAGGCGAAUGCAAGAACAAAGGCAGCAAGGCCGCCUCUGGCGUCGCUGAG